rnacentral:rRNA from 1 species
AACGAACGCUGGCGGCAGGCCUAACACAUGCAAGUCGAACGCACCGCAAGGUGAGUGGCGCACGGGUGAGUAACACGUGGGAAUGUACCCUUUGGUUCGGAAUAACGUUUGGAAACGAACGCUAAUACCGGAUGAGCCCUGUGGGGGAAAGAUUUAUCGCCAAAGGAGCAGCCCGCGUCUGAUUAGCUAGUUGGUGGGGUAAAGGCCUACCAAGGCGACGAUCAGUAGCUGGUCUGAGAGGAUGAUCAGCCACACUGGGACUGAGACACGGCCCAGACUCCUACGGGAGGCAGCAGUGGGGAAUAUUGGACAAUGGGCGGAAGCCUGAUCCAGCCAUGCCGCGUGAGUGAUGAAGGCCUUCGGGUUGUAAAGACUCUUUCGUCACGCGACGAUGAUGACGGUAGCGUGAGAAGAAGCCCCGGCUAACUUCGUGCCAGCAGCCGCGUAAU